GGGGGCGUUUUUGGAUUCGACGGGGACAGUUCGAGCAUGAGUAGCGGGUAGUGGGGACGCGUCCGCUUCAUCAACGCUAACGCCAAUAAUAACUGGCAAACAACAAAACAACUACGCUCUCGCAGCUUAAUAACCUGCAGACGUGCUCUCGCUCUGCAUCGCCCAUGUGCCGGGAUGAGGGCUCACUCUUAGUGGGAUACGCUGUCUAGUCUCCGCCUGCGGCUAGCUGAAGAAGACAAACAGGCUGACCCGAAGGGAAUCCGGUGACGGGGAGUCUCUAGGGUGACAUCAAAACUGUCACUACACCCGUAGAAGCUUAUGUGGCGUUGUCUUCGGACAGGGGUUCGACUCCCCUCGCCUCCA
rnacentral:tmRNA from 1 species